UACGUAGGGUGCGAGCGUUGUCCGGAAUUACUGGGCGUAAAGAGCUCGUAGGUGGUUUGUCGCGUUGUUCGUGAAAACUCACAGCUCAACUGUGGGCGUGCGGGCGAUACGGGCAGACUGGAGUACUGCAGGGGAGACUGGAAUUCCUGGUGUAGCGGUGGAAGUGCGCAGAUAUCAGGAGGAACACCGGUGGCGAAGGCGGGGUCUCUGGGCAGUAACUGACGCUGAGGAGCGAAAGCGUGGGGGAGCGAACAGG
rnacentral:rRNA from 1 species